rnacentral:rRNA from 1 species
AGCGAACGCUGGCGGCAGGCCUAACACAUGCAAGUCGAACGGAUCCUUCGGGAUUAGUGGCGGACGGGUGAGUAACACGUGGGAACGUGCCCUUUGGUUCGGAACAACUCAGGGAAACUUGAGCUAAUACCGGAUGUGCCCUUCGGGGGAAAGAUUUAUCGCCAUUGGAGCGGCCCGCGUCUGAUUAGCUAGUUGGUGAGGUAACGGCCCACCAAGGCGACGAUCAGUAGCUGGUCUGAGAGGAUGAUCAGCCACACUGGGACUGAGACACGGCCCAGACUCCUACGGGAGGCAGCAGUGGGGAAUCUUGCGCAAUGGGCGAAAGCCUGACGCAGCCAUGCCGCGUGAAUGAUGAAGGUCUUAGGAUUGUAAAAUUCUUUCAGCGGGGACGAUAAUGACGGUACCCGCAGAAGAAGCUCCGGCUAACUGCGUG